GGGGAUGAUCGGCUUCGACGGGAGAGGCUGGUCCCGGAUUGCGAGUCGAGAGGUACCGACCUCGUAAAAUCAGUACAACAAUUAAGUGCCAAUCGCACUGAAUAUGCAGCUCUCCCCCUCGCAGCGUAAGCUGUAGGCUAAGAGCUACGGUUUCCUAGAGAAACCUCGUCCCCCAUUUUUCGUUUUCCUGGCCGGGAGUGGGUGUGGCGACAUAAAGUCAGGAUGCCAUGCAGGACGCCGUUUAAUGCAUGAAAGAGGAGCUUUCGGGCUCUAACGGCUGGCAAGAGGGUCGCCCGGUUGGCUGGCUAACCUCAAGCGAGACUGAAUAGGUCAACUACACUCGUAGAUAUUCGAGGGUCGAUUCUUUCGGACGCGGGUUCGAUUCCCGCCAUCUCCACCU
rnacentral:tmRNA from 1 species